rnacentral:rRNA from 1 species
CCUACGGGAGACAGCAGUGGGGGAUAUUGCACAAUGGGGGGAACCCUGAUGCAGCGACGCCGCGUGGGUGAAGGAGUGCUUCGGCAUGUAAAGCCCUAUCGGCAGGGAAGAAGCAAGACGGUACCUGACUAAGAAGCCCCGGCUAACUACGUGCCAGCAGCCGCGGUAAUACGUAGGGGGCGAGCGUUAUCCGGAUUCACUGGGUGUAAAGGGAGCGUAGACGGCCAUGCAAGCCAGGGGGGAAAGCCCGGGGCCCAACCCCGGGACUGCCCUUGGAACUGGGCGGCUAGAGUGCGGGAGGGGCAGGCGGAAUUCGUGGUGUAGCGGUGAAAUGCGUAGAUAUCAGGAGGAACACCGGCGGCGAAGGCGGCCUGCUGGACCGCGACUGACGUUGAGGCUCGAAAGCGUGGGGAGCGAACAGGAUUAGAUACCCUAGUAGUC